UACGGGGGGAGCAAGCGUUGUUCGGAUUUACUGGGCGUAAAGGGCGCGUAGGCGGUCGUGACAAGUCACUUGUGAAAUCUCCGGGCUUAACUCGGAACGGUCAAGUGAUACUGUCGGACUAGAGUACAGAAGGGGCAACUGGAAUUCUCGGUGUAGCGGUGAAAUGCGUAGAGAUCAGGAGGAACACCCGUGGCGAAGGCGGCUCUCUGGGCCGGCCCUGACGCUGAGGCGCGAAAGCGUGGGGAGCGAACGGG
rnacentral:rRNA from 1 species